GUUUGUGCACUUUGCUGAAUCCGAUCAACUCCCCCCAUUCAUUACACAGAGCAAAAAUGCUUCUGUGGCUAAACUUGGUGUCCUUACUGGCAGUCCUCCAUGGUGUCCAGUCUCAAGUCCAGUUGGUGGAGUCUGGAGGGGAUGUGAGAAGACCUGGGGAAUCCCUCCGUCUCUCCUGCCAAGCCUCUGGAUUCACCUUCAGUAGCUACUGGAUGCACUGGGUCAGACAGGCUCCAGGGAAAGGCCUGGAAUGGGUGGCAGCCAUAAGUACAGGCUCAUCUCCUUCCACAUACUACUCAGACAAAGUCAAGGGCCGCUUCACCAUCUCCAGGGACAAUGCCAAAAGCCAGCUGUAUCUGCAAAUGAACAGCCUCAAACCAGAAGACACAGCAGUCUAUUACUGUGCAAGAGACACAGUGAGAGGAAGUGAAUCUGAAGCAAAACAAAAACCUUCAGAGCAGCUCUUCAUCUUGAUUCAGCGCCAGAUCCUGGAUUGUCUAAUCAGGGUUCACCACCCUAUA